AUGGUGGCUCGAGGUAAAGGAUACCUGAUGAACUGGCAGCCCUCGUCGGCGUCGUUACCAAGCUCAGAGUUGCCAGUGCCCACGAAUGAUGAUAGCAUCGGUGGUGCUGCAAUGGUAAUUAGCGAUGCAGAUGUGACCAGCCACGGUUAUGACAAGGAGAGGACGAAGGCUGCAGAUGCAGAUGCUACCUGUUGCUGCGACGAAUCAUUCUUCUUUCCAUGUUUCGAUGUACUGCAGAUCAGCCCUUUGGAUCACCACUACCUUGACUCUACGGACCAGGAAAUGCACGGCGCUAGUCGAGGGAAGAGUUGGGCCAAAACGGUGCAAAAGGAAUAG
rnacentral:rRNA from 1 species